UACAGAGGUCCCAAGCGUUGUUCGGAUUCACUGGGCGUAAAGCGCGCGCAGGCGGUCAUUUAAGUCUGGUGUUUAAGCCCGGGGCUCAACCCCGGUUCGCAUCGGAAACUGGAUGACUUGAGUGUAGGAGAGGGAAGUGGAAUUCCACGUGUAGCGGUGAAAUGCGUAGAGAUGUGGAGGAACACCAGUGGCGAAGGCGACUUUCUGGCCUAUAACUGACGCUGAGGCGCGAAAGCGUGGGGAGCGAACAGG
rnacentral:rRNA from 1 species